CGGGGGGAGCAAGCGUUGUUCGGAUUUACUGGGCGUAAAGGGCGUGUAGGCGGCCACCGCAAGUCGACUGUGAAAUCUCUGGGCUUAACCCAGAAAGGUCAGCCGAUACUGCGGGGCUAGAGUGCAGAAGGGGCAACUGGAAUUCUCGGUGUAGCGGUGAAAUGCGUAGAUAUCGAGAGGAACACCUGCGGCGAAGGCGGGUUGCUGGGCUGACACUGACGCUGAGGCGCGAAAGCUAGGGGAGCGAACGGGAUUAGAUACCCCGGUAGUCCUAGCCUUAAACGAUGAAUGCUUGGUGUCUGGGGUUUUAUAGUCCCCGGGUGCCGUCGCUAACGCUUUAAGCAUUCCGCCUGGGGAGUACGGCCGCAAGACUG
rnacentral:rRNA from 1 species